rnacentral:rRNA from 1 species
UACGGAGGGGACUAGCGUUGUUCGGAAUUACUGGGCGUAAAGCGCACGUAGGCGGAUUUGUAAGUCGGGGGUGAAAGCCUGUGGCUCAACCACAGAAUUGCCUUCGAUACUGUAGAGCUUGAGACCGGAAGAGGUAAGUGGAACUGCGAGUGUAGAGGUGAAAUUCGUAGAUAUUCGCAAGAACACCAGUGGCGAAGGCGGCUUACUGGUCCGGUUCUGACGCUGAGGCGCGAAAGCGUGGGGAGCAAACAGG